rnacentral:rRNA from 1 species
AGAGUUUGAUCAUGGCUCAGAACGUACGCUGGCGGCACGCCUAACACAUGCAAGUCGAACGAAGUAGCAAUACUUAGUGNCAGACGGGUGAGUAACAUGUAGGGUAUCUGCCCUUUGGCCUGGAAUAACACGAGGAAACUUGUGCUAAUACCGGGAUAAGUCUUUACGGAGAAAGCUUUAUGCACCAUUGGAUGAGCCUGCACUUGAUUAGUUUGUUGGUGGGGUAAUGNCCUACCAAGACUGUGAUCAAUAGCUGAUUUGAGAGGAUGAUCAGCCACAUUGGGACUGAGACANGGCCCAAACUCCUACGGGAGGCAGCAGUGGGGAAUCUUGCACAAUGGAGGAAACUCUGAUGCAGCGAUGCCGNGUGAGUGAAGAAGGCCCUUGGGU